AAGUAGAUAGGUACGUUAAGGAGACACCUUCAGCUCUGACCCAUGGUUUCUGGAAGGAUGUGUAUUUUGAAGCAACUGUUGGUCAAAGAGGAAGAGUAUUGAUAUGUUGCAAGGAGCAAAGUGUGGGAGUUUUCAGGAGGAGGAAGCCUGAUGCCAGGUCACAGCCUGGCUGGCAGUGCCACAGCACAUCCUUUAUACAAGCAGCCCUGUUGGUGAUCCUGGAUCCAAAGUUUAAGAGCAAGCUGGUGGCAAACAGUGGGCAUGUGUGUGUGGGGAGAGGGAGAGAAGCUGGCGAUGCGGUUUUGGAUCCCUGCCUUGCCUUCCCAGCAGGGGCCAGGGAGCGGUGGUCGUGAGUCUGUUCUCGUGGAUGGACCGAAGAUGGUGGCCCCCAGGACAACCACUCUUCUGCUGGCAGGACACAUAAUGAAGGAGAAUUUGUUUGCAUAUGGGAUCUUUCAUCAAGUAACUGACAAAACCUUCAGGAAUAUGAAUGAGGUUGAGCUUCUUGUUCUUGGAGUCUGAUUUUGUUUCUGUUCUAGAGCUAAACGGUGACACAUACUGGGAGGUCUGUGCUGUGGAAGUAGCACAGCCGAUACUUUUAUUCGGUGUCUUGCUUUCUCUUUUCCUGCUAUGAAUACAGUGACAGAACAACACAGCAUGCUGUGCCGACUGUGCACAGCAUUAUUCACUCCAUGCAGUGGGUAAGGCACACUUUGUGUAUUCCUUCCACAUAUCUGGCAGGGCACUGCCAGCUUCAGAAAAACAGGAGCUGAAGGAGCUCACUGGAGACUUCCCAGUACUACAGCUUGCUUUUUCAUAUUUGAAUCUGUAAUUAAUUUAAGUAUAAUUAAUUUUGUUUUUCUGAGAAAAGUGGAAAGAUUUCAGUUCCAA